GUUAAUUUAGUUUAAAUAUAAAAAAUAGAGGUUUGUGGUACCUUAGAUGAAUGAAUUCAUUUAACU
rnacentral:tRNA from 1 species